UACGUGAGGUGCAAGCGUUAUCCGGAAUUAUUGGGCGUAAAGAGCUCGGUAGGCGGUUUGUCGCGUCUGCUGUGAAAACUGGAGGCUCAACCUCCAGCCUGCAGUGGGUACGGGCAAACUAGAGUGCAGAAGGGGCAACUGGGAAUUCUCGGUGUAGCGGUGAAAUGCGUAGAUAUCGAGAGGAACACCUGCGGCGAAGGCGGGUUGCUGGGCGUGACACUGACGCUGAAGCGCGAAAGCUAGGGGAGCGAACGGG
rnacentral:rRNA from 1 species